UCCAGACGGUAUGCGCGGCCAGGUCAGCGUCGAUCCUAAUCAGCACAUAAACUCACGUAGCUCUACGUGGGUGUAGCAUUAUUGUAUAUAUAGGGCUGAAUUAACUAAUGAUGAAAGCAUUACAAAGCUGCGCACAUGAUGUGCGUACACAAGACAACCCUCUCAAAACCAAAUAGCACGGAUCUAAAAUAAGUUACGACUCUACAUCAUAAAAACUCCACAUCAUUAAGCUAUCCAAAACAUCCAUGAAGAAACUAGGUUGUAUAUAGCGCCAAUUAGCUAAUGAGUAAUGAGAGAACCGGCGUCGAUCACAAUCAGCUCGACUUUCCCUCCUGCUCCGCCGUUUCACGGGCAGCGGCUGCCACGACGUCCAUUAUGCACUUCACCAGCGCCUCCCGCGCGCUGGCGCGGGCCUCGUCGGCGUCGGCGUCCGGUGGUGGUUCUUGCCCCACGCACGCGGCAGCCAACGCCUCGAUCUUGUCUCGGCAUGCGCCUUGGUUCAAACACUUGAUAGCCAUGUCGACGACGGCAUAGGGUUGCGCCGACGGGUGAGGAUCCGCUGACGAGGACGACGGGGAUUCGCUCUCCAUGAGGACGGUGACGAUGAUAGGCGGUCUAACUACGAGAAGAUGUAGCUAGGGCGAAAAAACCGUGGACUCAGAUGGUUUUCGUAGCUAGGUGUGUGCUCCUUUCUCUUGUAUUUAUGGAUGGAUGAACGCACGUACGUACUUUGAUAUCGAGAUGAUGAUGAGUUCGACUCGAACUAGUAUUCUUGUCCGUCACCAGUUUCGUUCUGAAGUCGUCCGUCGCUCGGAAGCCGAACGAACCAGGUUAAUUUGGGCCAUCGCCAUAUACUAAGCAAAGGAAAAUAACUUGUCCCUCGGCUGUGCAUUAGCCUGGAGCAAGCAGGAGCAACUAGUUGACCAGUGUUUGUUAGGAAGACCCCCAACUAUCACUCGAUCACUCCCUGAAACGGAAAUAACGUUUUUUUCGUGUUUUUUUUUUNNNNNNNNNNNNNNNNNNNNNNNNNNNNNNNNNNNNNNNNNNNNNNNNNNNNNNNNNNNNNNNNNNNNNNNNNNNNNNNNNNNNNNNNNNNNNNNNNNNNUAGAAUUUUUUUAAAACUGAAAAGUUAGAAUUUUAAGUUAUUUGCAAAAAAAGACUUCCAUGAUGCUCAGGAGUCAAAAGCUAUUUCCGUCGCCUUAGUAGCUUCUUCACGGACACUCAUACAACAUGUUACAAAGAACACUUUGCUACCUAAGAGCAAAUCCAACCGCGCGAUCCAAAUGGACAAUCGUUUUGUACGCCUUUUGUUUGUUUGGUUCGACAUGUUCGUACUUUUUUUGUAAAUGGGUCAGUCAUACUAUUGAAAAUAUGCCCUAGAGGCAAUAAUAAAAUAGUUAUUAUUAUAUUUCCUGUUUCAAGAUAAUCGUAUAUUAUCCAUGUUAUAAUUGUAUUGAAUGAUAACAUAAAUGACUAUGUCCCUAGUAAGCCUCUAGUUGACUAACCAGUUGAUCAAGGAUGGUUCAGGUUUUCUCACCAUAUACAAGUGUUGUCACUUGAUGACUGUAUCACAUCAUUGGGAGAAUGAUGUGAUGGACAAGACCCAAACUAUAAACGUAGCAUGUGAUCGUGUCAUUUUGUUGCUAUUGUUUUCUGCGUGUCAAGUAUUCAUUCCUAUGACCAUGAGAUCAUGUAACUCACUGACACCGGAGGAAUACCUUGUGUGUAUCCGCUUUGUGCUGCCAUCUUCGCAAUACCUUGUGUGUAUCAAACGUCGCAACGUUAUUGGGUGACUAUAAAGCUGCUCUACAGGUAUCUCCGAAGGUGUCCGUUGAGUUAGCAUGGAUCAAGACUGGGAUUUGUCACUCCGUGUGACGGAGAGGUAUCUCGGGGCCCACUCGGUAAUACAACAUCACAUAUAAGCCUUGCAAGCAAUAUGACUAAAGUGUUAGUCACGGGAUCUUGUAUUACGGAACGAGUAAAGAGACUUGCCGGUAACGAGAUUGAAAUAGGUACAGGGAUACCAACGAUCAAAUCUCGGGCAAGUAACAUACCGUAGGACAAAGGGAAUGAUAUACGGGAUUAUAUGAAUCCUUGGCACAAAGGUUCAACCGAUAAGAUCUUCAUAGAAUAUGUAGGAUCCAAUAUUAACAUCCAGGUCCCGCUACUGGAUAUUGACCGGGGAGUGUCUCAGGUCAUGUCUGGAUAGUUAUCGAACCCGUAGGGUGUGCACACUUAAGGUUCGGUGACGUUUCGAUAUAGUUGAGUUAUAGGUGCUGGUGACCGAAGUUUUGUUCGGAGUCUCGGAUGAGAUCAGGAUGUCACGAGGGUAUCCGUAAUGGUCCGGAAACGAAGAUUGAUAUAUAGGAUUGUUGCAUUUGGCUUUCGGAAAGAUUUUGGGCAUUGCCGGCAGUGUACCGGGAGUGACGAAUGGGUUUCGGGGUUUUACCGGGAGGUGCCACCCGCCCGGGAGAGAACCUAAUAGGCCCAUGGGUGGUAUACCAGCCCUUAGUGGGCUGGUGUAGCCAGCCCAAUAGGGCUAUUUCGGCCGAGGAGAAAAAACAAUGCAAAGAAAAAAAAGGAGGUGGGAAGGAAGGAAUUGACUCCUCCCUCCAAACCGAAUUGGAGGAGGAUCCCUCCUCCUCCCACUUCGGCCGACGCCCUAGAGGUUCCCUUGAGCCUCAAGGCUAGCCCCUCCCUUCCUCCUAUAUAAACUAGAGGUUUUAGGGUUUUUGAGACACAACUUUGCCACGUGCAACCCUAAACCUCUACUUCGUAGUUCUUCCUCUAGAUCGGAUUUCUACGGAGCUCGGGCGGAGCCGUGCAGGAAUAGAUCAUCACCAUCACCGACGUGUCGUCACGCUGCCGUAGAACUCAUCUACUUCCCCGUCUCUCUUGCUGGAUCAAGAAGGCGGAGAUCGUCAUCGAGCUGUACGUGUACUGAACACGGAGGUGUCGUCCGUUCGGUGCUAGAUCGGGACGGAUCGUGGGACGAUGAUGAUUUGAAUCACGAAGAAGUUCCACUACAUCAAGUGCGUUUCUUAACACUUUUCGCUUAGCGAUCUACAAGGGUAUGUUGAUCCGAUCUCCCUCUUGUAGAUGAACAUCACCAUGAUAAGUCUUUGUGUGCGUAGGAAUUUAUUUUUCCCAUGAAAUGUUCCCCAACAGUGGCAUCAUCAGCUAGGUUCAUGCGUAGAUGUUAUCUCGAGUAGAACACACAUUUUUUUGUGGGCGUUGAUGUUCAAUUUGCUGCCAUCCUUAGUCUUUUCUCGAUUCGGCGGUAUUGUUGGAUUGAAGCGGCCCGGACCAACCUUACUCGUUCGCUUACGAGAGACCGGUUUCAUCGACUAACAUGCAACUAGUUGCAUAAAGAUGGCCGGCGUGUGUCUAUUUCUUCAACUUUAGUUGAAUCGAAUUUGACUGAGGCGGUCCUUGGAGAAAGGUUAAAUAGCAAUUUGCGUAUCACAAUUGUGGAUUUGCGUUAGUAAGAUGCGAUCAUACUAGAUACCCAUAGCAGCCACGUAAAACAUGCAACAACAAAUUAGAGGACGUCUAACUUGUUUUUGCAGGGUAUGCAUGUGAUGUGAUAUGUCCAAAUACAUGAUGUGAUAUAUUGGAUGUAUGAGAUGAUCAUGUUGUAAUAGUUAAAUAUUGACUAACACGUCAAUGCUACGGCAACCGGCAGGAGCCAUAGGGUUGUUUUUAAACUAACGUUUGUGCUUGCAGAUGCCUUUACUAUAUUGCUAGGUUCUAGCUUUAGCACUAAUGGCAUAGAUAGCACGACAACCUUGAUGGCGGCACGAUGAUGGAGAUCAUGAUGAUGGAGAUCAUGGUGUGGCGUCGGUGACGAUGAAGAUCAUGUUGGUGCUUUGGUGAUGGAGAUCAAGAAGCACAAGAUCAUGGCCAUAUCAUGUCACUUAUGAAUUGCAUGUGAUGUUAAUCCUUUUAUGCACCUUAUCUUGCUUAGAACGACGGUAGCAUUAUAAGGUGAUCCCUCACUAGAAUUUCAAGAUAAAAUUGUGUUCUCCCCGACUGUGCACCAUUGCGACAGUUCGUUGUUUCUAGACACCACGUGAUGAUCGGGUGUGAUCGGAACACAACAGACCGAAAGGUCGAGCAUGAAUCGUAUGUUGAUAUGAUUAACAUAGAGAUGUUUAUCACUGAAACUACACUCAACUCACGUGAUGAUCAAACUUGAGUUAGUGAAUUUGGAUCAUGUCACACUCAAAUAACUAGAGGGAUGUCUAUUUGAGUGGGAGUUUGUUAGUAAUAUGAUUAGCUGAACUCUAAUUGUCUUGAACAUAGUCUAAGUAAACUUUGCAAUAUUUUUAUGUUGUAGAUCAAUGGCUCGCGCAGUAGCAACCCUGAAUUUCAAUACGUUCCUAGAGAAAGCUAAGCCGAAAGAUGAUGGUAGCAACUUUGUAGACUGGGCUCGUAAUCUGAGGCUUAUCCUACAAGCUGGGCAAAAGAAUUAUGUCCUUGAUGCAGCUCUAGGAGAUGAACCACCCGCUACGGCUGAACAAGAUGUUUUGAAUGCUUGGCAAGCGCAUAAGGAGGAUUACUCAGUAGUUCAAUGUGCAGUCUUGUAUGGCUUAGAACCGGUACUUCAACGACACUUUGAACGUCAUGGAGCAUAUGAGAUGUUCCACGAGUUGAAGUUUAUCUUUGAGAAUAAUGCCCGGAUGGAGAGGUAUGAGACCUCCGAUAAAUUCUAUCCUUGCAAAAUGGAGGAGAAUUCGUCUGUUAGUACAUGUGCUCAAAAUGUCUGGGUACUCAAACCGUCUAGCUGAGCUGGGGAUUGAUCUCCCGCAAGAGGCUAUCACUGACAUAAUUUUUCAAUCACUGCCACCUAGCUACAAGAGCUUUGGGUCGAACUAUAACAUGCAAGGGAUGAAUAAGUCACCCGACGAGUUAUUUGCGAUGUUGAAAGUCGCGGAGUCGGAAAUCCGGAAAGAACAUCAAGUGUUGAUGGUCAAUAAGACCACUGGUUUCAAGAAAAGCGGCAAAGGAAAGAAGAGUAACUCCAAGAAGAGCGGCAAAACUGUUGCCCCUCCGACAAAGAAACCCAAGGCUGGACCUUACCCGGAAACUGAGUGCUAUUAUUGCAAGGGGACGGGUCUCUGGAAGCGCAACUGCCCCAAGUAUUUGGCUGAUAAGAAGGCGGCCACCGCCAAACCAGGUAUAUGUGGUAUACAUGUUAUUGAUGUGUACCUAACCAACUCUCAUAGUAGUGCCUGGGUAUUUGAUACCGGUUCUAUUGCUCACAUUUGGAACUCGAAGCAGGAACUGUGGAAUAAACAAAGGUUGGCGAAGGAUGAAGUGACGAUGCGCGUGGGAAAUGGUUCCAAGGUUUAUGCAAUCGCCGUCAGCACGAUCUCACUUCAGUUACCAUCGGGAUUAGUUAUGAACUUAAAUAAUUGUUAUUUAGUGUCUGCGUUAAGCAUGAACAUUAUAUCUGGAUCUUGUUUAUUGCGAGACAGUUACUCAUUUAAGUCAGAGAAUAAUGGUUGUUCUAUUUGUAUGAGUAAUAUCCUUUAUGGUCAUGCACCCAAUGUGAGGGGUUUGUUCAUAUUGAAUCUUGAUUGUGAUGACACACAUAUCCAUAACAUUGAGACCAAAAGAUGUAAAGUUAACAAUGAUAGCGCCACCUUUUUGUGCCACUGCCGCUUAGGUCAUGUUGGUGUAAAGCACAUGAAGAAACUCCAUGCUGAUGGGCUUUUGGAGUCACUUGAUUUUGAAUCACUUGACACGUGCGAACCAUGCCUCAUGGGCAAGAUGACUAAGACUCCGUUCUCUGGGACAAUGGAGCGUGCAAGUGACUUGUUGGAAAUCAUACAUACUGAUGUGUGCAGACCCAAUGAGUGUGGAGGUGCGCGACGGAUAUCGUUAUUUUCUCUUCUUCACUGAUGAUUUGAGUAGGUAUGGAUAUAUAUACUUGAUGAAGCACAAGUCUGAAACAUUUGAAAUGUUCAAACAAUUUCAGAGUGAAGUUGAAAAUCAUCUUAGCAAGAAGAUCAAGUUCCUACGAUUUGAUCAAGGGGGUGAAUAUCUGAGUUACGAGUUUGGUGCUCACUUAAGACAAUGUGGAAUCAUUUCAUAGUUGACACCGCCUGGAACACCAAAGCGUAAUGGUGUGUCCGAAUGUCGUAAUCGUACUUUGUUAGAUAUGGUGUGAUCUAUGAUGUCUCUUACCGAUUUGCCAUUAUCGCUUUGGGGCUAUGCAUUAGAGACAGGUGCAUUCGCUUUAAAUAGGGCACCAUCACAAUCCGUUGAGACGACACCAUAUGAGCUAUGGCAUGGCAAGAAGCCAAAGUUGUCGUUUCUUAAAGUUUGGGGAUGCGAUGCUUAUGUCAAAAAGCUUCAGCCUGAAAAGCCGGAACCCAAAGCGGAAAAGUGAGUCUUCAUAGGUUACCCAAAAGAUACAGUUGGGUACACCUUCUAUCUCAGGUCCGAGGGCAAAGUGUUUGUUGCUAAGAACGGAGCUUUUCUUGAGAAAGAGUUUCUCUCGAAAGAAUUGAGUGGGAGGAAGAUAGAACUUGAUGAGGUUUUGGAACCUCUGCUCCAACAAGAUGAUGGCGUAGGGCAUAGGGAAAUCUCUGUCGAGGCAACACCAGUUGAGGAGGAAACUAAUGAUGAUGAUCAUGAAGCUUUAGAUCAAGUUACUAUCUGACCUCGCAGGUCGACAAGAUCACAUACUGCUCAUGAGUGGUACGGGAAUCUUGUAUUAUCCAUCAUGUUGUUAGACAACAAUGAACCUACGAAUUACGGAGAAGCAAUGGUGGGCCUAGAUUCCAACAAAUGGUUAGAGGCCAUGAAAACUGAGAUAGGAUCUAUGUAUGAAAACAAAGUGUGGACUUUGGAAGUAUUAUCUGAAGGUCGCAAGGCUAUUCAGAACAAAUGGAUCUUUAAGAAGAAGAUGAACGCGGACGGUAAUGUGACCAUUUAUAAAGUUCGACUUGUGGCAAAGGGUUUUUCAUAAGUUCAAGGAGUUGACUACGAUGAGAUAUUCUCACCGGUAGUGAUGACAUAUUGCUGAUUGGAAACAAUGUGGAGUUUUUGGAGAGCGUAAAGGAUUACUUGAACACAAGUUUUUCAAUGAAAGACCUAGGAGAAGCUGCUUAGAUAUUAGGUAUUAAUAUCUAUAGAGAUAGAUCGAGAUGCCUGAUAGGACUUUCACAAAGCACAUACCUUGAGAAAGUUUUGAAGAAGUUCAAAAUGGAACAAUCCAAGAAAGGGUUAUUGCCUUUGUUACAAUGUAUAAAGUUGAGUAAGACUCAAUAUCCAGUAACUGCAGAAGAUAGAGAAAAGAUGAGUACCAUCCCCUAUGCUUCAGCCGUAGGGUCUAUCAUGUAUGCAAUGAUGUGCACAAGACCGGACGUCAGCUUGGCCAUAAGUAUGGCAGGCAGGUUUCAAAGUGAUCCCGGAGUGGAACACUCGGCGGCGGUCAAGAAUAUUCUGAAGUACCUAAAAAGGACUAAGGAAAUGUUUCUCGUUUAUGGAGGUGACGAAGGGCUCAUCAUAAAGGGUUACGUCGAUGCAAGCUUUGACACUGAUCCGGAUGACUCUAAGUCUCAAAUCGGAUACGUAUUUAUUCUCAAUGGAGGUGCGGUAAGCUAGUGCAGUUCCAAGCAAAGCGUCGUAGCAGAUUAUACAUCUGAAGCAGAGUACAUGGCUGCCUCAGAGGCGUCUAAGGAGGGUGUCUGGAUGAAGCAGUUCAUGACGGAUCUUGGAGUUGUGCCGAGUGCACUAAAUCCAAUAACUUUGUUCAGUGACAACACUGGUGACAUUGCUCUAACCAAGGAACCAAGGUAUCACAAGAAGACCAGACACAUCAAACAACGCUUCAACCUCAUACGCGACUAUGUCGAAGGAGAUGACGUAAAUAUUUACAAAGUGCACGCGGAUCUGAAUAUUGCAGAUCCGCUGACUAAACCUCUUCCAUGAGCGAAGCAUGAUCAACACCAGAACAGUAUGGGUGUUAGAUUCAUUCCAAUGUAAAUCACAUAGCGAUGUGAGACUAGAUUAUUGACUCUAGUGCAAGUGGGAGAUUGUUGGAAAUAUGCCCUAGAGGUAAUAAUAAAAUAGUUAUUAUUAUAUUUCCUAUUUCAAGAUAAUCGUUUAUUAUCCAUGCUAUAAUUAUAUUGAAAGAAAACAUAAAUGCAUGUGUGGAUAUAUAGACAAAACUAUGUCCCUAGUAAGCCUCUAGUUGACUAGCCAGUUGAUCAAGGAUGGUUAAGGUUUUCUAACCAUAUACAAGUGUUGUCACUUGAUGACUAGAUCACAUCAUUGGAAGAAUGAUGUGAUGGACAAGACCCAAACUAUAAACGUAGCAUGUGAUCGUGUCAUUUUGUUGCUAUUGUUUUCUGCGUGUCAAGUAUUCAUUCCUAUGACCAUGAGAUCAUGUAACUCACUGACACCGGAGGAAUACCUUGUGUGUACCAAAAGUCGCAACGUUAUUGGGUGACUAUAAAGGUGCUCUACACGUAUCUCCGAAGGUGUCCAUUGAGUUAGCAUGGAUCAAGACUGGGAUUUGUCACUCCGUGUGGUGGAGAGGUAUCUCGAGGCCCACUCGGUAAUAGAACAUCACAUAUAAGCCUUGCAAGCAAUGUGACUAAAGUGUUACUCACGGGAUCUUGUAUUAUGGAAUGAGUAAAGAGACUUGUCGGUAAUAAGAUUAAAAUAGGUAUAGGGAUACCGACGAUCAAAUCUCGGGCAAGUAACAUACCGAAGGACAAAGGGAAUGGUAUACGGGAUUAUAUGAAUCCUUGGCACAGAGGUUCAAUCGAUAAGAUCUUUGUAGAAUAUGUAGGAUCCUAUAUGGACAUACAGGUCCCGCUAUUGGAUAUUGACUGAGGAGUGUCUCAGGUCAUGUCUGCAUAGUUCUCGAACCCGAAGGGUCUGCACACUUAAGGUUCGGUGACAUUUCGUUAUCGUUGAGUUAUAGGUGCUGAUGACCAAAGUUUUGUUCGGAGUCCUGGAUGAUAUCAAGGAGGUCACGAGGGUUUCCGGAAUGGUCCGGAAACGAAGAUUGAUAUAUAGGAUUGUUGCAUUUGGCUUCCGGAAAGAUUUCAGGCAUUGCCGGCAGUGUACCGGGAGUGACGAGUGGGUUGUGGGGUUUUACCGGGAGGGGCCACCCACCCGGGAGAGAACCUAAUAGGCCCAUGGGUGGUAUACCAGCCCUUAGUGGGCUGGUGUAGCCAGCCAAUAAGGCUAUUUUGGCCAAGGAAAAAAAACAAUGCAAAGGGAAAAAAAGAGGAGGUGGGAAGGAAGGAAGGGACUCCUCCCUCCAAACCGAAUUGGAGGAGGAUCCCUCCUCCUCCCACUUCGGCCGAUGCCCUAGAGGCUCCCUUGAUCCUCAAGGCUAGCCCCUCCCCUCCUCCUAUAUAUACUAGAGGUUUUAGGGUUUUUGAGACACAACUUUGCCACGUGCAACCCUAAACCUCUACUUCGUAGUUCUUCCUAUAGAUCGGAUUUCUGCGGAGCUCGGGCCGAGCCCUGCAGGAAUAGAUCAUCACCAUCACCGGCGCGCCGUCCCGCUGCCGGAGAACUCAUCUACUUCUCCGUCUCUCUUGCUGGAUCAAGAAGGAGGAGAUCGUCAUCGAGCUAUACGUGUGCUGAACGCGAAGGUGACGUCCGUUCGGUGCUAGAUCUGGAUGGAUCGUGAGACGAUGGUGAUUUGAAUCACGAAGCAGUUCUACUACAUCAACCACGUUUCUUAACGCUUCCUGCUUAGUGAUCUACAAGGGUAUGUGGAUCCGAUCUCCCUCUCGUAGAUGAACAUCACCAUGAUAGGUCUUCGUGUGCGUAGGAAAAAAAUUCUUUCCCAUGCAACGUUCCCCAACACAUACGUCCAAUGUGCCGAUCCAUUUUUCGUCCGUGCGGUCAGCCAACAUCCAUUUUUUAAUCACACGUUUUGCUUCAUUUCAGGUUUGAACGUUAUUUUUGUUUCAUCAACUGCAUUUUAAUACAUAUAUUUUUAUCAAUUCUUCACAAUGAAUAUAAGACAAAGAAAACAAAAACCACAAUUAGAUAUUUUAAAAGAUGUCCAACUUCCAUAAGAGCAUCUACAACCGGACCCCUCAAAUCUAUCUCAAACGACUGGGCAAGCCGUCCGGUCAUUAAAAACCGAUCCAAAGCGGCCUCUCAAACUGGCCUCAAACGCCCGGGCUAACCGGCAGCCCCCAUUUCCAACCCAGAUAUGGGGGAGCCCGGGUGUGUCCGGGCACGCCCGCACUGGACCACGCUGGCCCGCAUCUACCCCAUAUAUAUUCGUUCUCAUUCGCUCACCGGACCAAACCCGAGCCACUUCACUCCACUCUCCUCCACUCCCAUCCAUCACUCAGGCUCACAUCUGGCAUGGGUGGCAGUGGUUCCGAGUCCUUGACCUCGAGAUCCGCCGACCACGAGCUCGUCCCAUGCGGCCCCGAGGAGGAGAUGAUCGUCCGGCUUGCGCUUCGCCGCUCCCGGGAGGCGGCCGCAUGAGGCAGCGCUCGGACUAACAACGCCUGAAAUCCAUUGCAUCCGCACAACCAGUGGUUGGAUCCGGCGUUGCUGCCUCACCGGAGACGGUGAGGUAUGUCUGGCACCUGAACGACGUGGUGGAAGCGCAACCCCUCCGUUGGCGCGCCGAGCACGAAGCAUGGCCGACCUCGGACGAUGUCAUGGCACGGCGUACCCGCAGGGCGAGGUAGCAGGCAUGUGAUGCGGCGAAGGGCCUCGCGGCGAGGCAUGUUGGAGAGGCGGAGUCACACCCUCCGGCUCCCCGUAGGGUGCAGCACCGCGGUCGACGCAACCGUGUCAUGGUGGACGUCAGCUCCUCCCAGGAAGGAUCCGUCAUCAACGUCACGUCGACUCGCACCGUCCAGGUUACGGGCUCCGACGAGGAAGAGUAGGGCAUGGGAGACGGCGGGAGCUCGACUCCCAUGAGCAGGCUAGUGUCCCAUGUCCUACUCUAUAUCAUCGGCGAUCAGACCGAAACUAUGAGGGGCGUAGCCAGCCGCCGGACAUGGGCACGACGGAGCUGGACGAGCUCCACUUAGUAUUAGGUUUACGUUGCAUGUAAUAGUAUGGAUUUGAGGUUUCUAAAUUGAGGUAUACGGAUGUAGAUUGCAUUAUUUGAGGCGUGACCGGUCAGUGUCCGCGGAGCGUCCGGAUGCGUCCGCGGGCGUUUGAGGGGUCAGAUUUGAGGGGGCCGGCUGUAGAUGCUCUAACUGCUCCAACUAGUUGGACUAAGAUCUUCUCUAUGUCUUUGUUGUUGAUGUAUGGAUUCUUGAGCACAACGUCUUUCUUCUUUGAUGCUAAAGAAUUAGAUGUUGCUUCCCCUUUGAUCUUUUCUUUAGUCUCAUCUAUACCUUCAAUUCUAGAUAGAAGUGCACGAACGUCUAGCAAAUUUAGUAAGAUCAAUAAAUCGAUGUAUUCUUCUUCCCAAUAUUAAAAAUUGCAUCCAUCCUACACACACUAUUGAGCAAAUAAUAAGCUACCGAAAUUGCAUCGAAUCAUCAAAGAGCAAAAGGCCAAACGAAAAUUGUACUACAUCGUCUGUGCACUUCACGAACGCCCAACCAGAAUGUUCCGACGUCCAAGAAACGCGUCGGACGACCUGCAGCAAGAAGUCGUCACACUUUAUGAAUGACAAUGGUGAGCCAACAAGCUUUUGGGCCAACGACGAGCCAGGGCGACGGCCGGCCGUGGCCUUGCCGACGAACCUGCGACGGCUCAGAGCCGAGCGGCUAGAGGCGGAUUGAGCGCCUGCAUGUGGAAUCGAGGGAUUGACCGGACUUUGUGGAGCGGCACCCGACCAGUCCAUGGCAAGGGCAGUCCUUCGGCGGUCGGAUUCGCAAGAUGCGCAAAAUUUCGUCAAAUCUCGCCGCCGCCGCAGAUCCACCAAUAGGCCUCCCGCACCGGGACGAAGAAGGCACCCCGCCGGUGGAUUUGCUGCUGGAGAUCUAGCGUGACCGGGGAAAAAUAAGGUCGCUGGCCUAGGAUUUGUGUGCUUGCGGGCGGCGGGUGGCGGAACGGGAUAAGAAAAAGAAACUGUGACGACGACUAGCGAGCCAUGAGAAGGAGCACGUGGGCGAGGACACGUAUCCGCGGCAACGCAAAUAAAGCCCGAAUUUGCAUCCAGAAUGAGUCGCGUGUGGACGAAAAACGGAUGCCAUCCAUUUAGAUCGACGCGUUGAAUCGAUUUUUUUGUUUGUCGCGACCCAAACGAACGGCGCGUAGAUAAAAUUGGUCAAACGCGUUGAAGUUGCUCUAAUACUUCUUGUCCCAAAAUAACUGUUGCAAUUUAGUACGAAGUUGUAGUAGUAAGAUAUAAACAUUGAGCAAAUUUGUCUGGAAGAAGAGCUCGGGAAGCAUGCACACAGUGACACAACAUAACAAAAAUCAAGCCACAAGCGUCAACUCACAAGAAUUAAUUUUAGAAGAUCAAUCACAUGGCGCUAGUUCAACAAUCUCGCGUUGCCUUGAUCGACUUGUCCUACUACUACUUGGCUAGCUAGCUGAUAUACCUAAACAACAACACUGAAAACCGUGUAUGCAUUGGUAUGCGCGCUCUUCGGCACGAGGACAAGAAGAAAAUGAUAAACAAAAAAAGUAAGGGCGCAGUGGUACUGCAUGCAGUCCACUCCUCGGCACGUACGUACGUGCUGCUAGCUCGCCGUGGCAGCCGGCAGAGCCUGAGGAGAAGGCCAGGCUAGUUGUGCAGCGGAUUGGGGCCCUGGGGUACCAUCCUCUUGGACUCAUCGUACGCUGCUCCUCUGGCCUCGCCGGUGCCUGAUGACGACGACGACAACGCCGCCGGCCCCGUCUUGAGCACCGGGCCGCCGCACUUCCGCGCUGCAGCAGCCGUCGCCGCCUUGAGAACUCCGCAGCUGCAGGCGGCGGUGCCCAGCUCGGUCGCCACCAGCAGGAGCAGCAGCAGAAGCGGCACCGAGAGCGUGUCCGGAAAUGGAGGAGUGCCAGCACCCGCGGCGCGUCGUCUCAUGGUCGACGGCGGAGCUUGGCUAGGCAGGGCAGCGGAUUGGAGGAACAGAGCAGGUGGUUUGGUUGUCCCGUGGUGAGAUUUGAGGAGUUGUCUGCGAUGUGUGGGGAGGUAGGGGGGAGGAGGAGGUGGCCAGACAGAUGUCGCACGAGAGGAAAGAGACGGGGUCCGCCUUUUGCGAGCGUGAAUUUACGCUCCUGUCGAGUGAGGCCAAUCGGGAAGGUCGCUGACCCUGUGGAAACGAUGCAAACGUGUUCUGGAAUUUCAAUACCCUUGGAUCGUGAGACCAUAGUCGUCCGUAGAUUCUGUUAUUUACUGAAUCUUCAGUAUAAUUGUAUAAAUCAUCGCAAAAUGAAGUAUAACUGUAUAAACCGGGCAAAAACCCUUGCGGCUUACAAUUGAGCUGAAGGACCAAUUGCAGUUUAGAACGCGACCACCCAAACGAAUGCUAAUUUUAACUAUUUUUCGUCCUUUCGAUGAGCCGAACGGCUGACGUAUCCUUUUUUUUGUGUGUCGGUCACUUCAUUCAACGCAAGGCCGACGCGUUUUUCUAUUUGAAGGAAGAAACCUUUUCAAAAACAUACUAACAAAUUUAACAUAGCUAUACAUUAGACGGUGAUCAACAACGGAUCAAACCUUACUUAAACAUUAAUUAAACAUAAAUUUAAAAACAAAAAACCGCAGUCGCUAGCCGCCCAUCACGCUACCCUAAGCGUCCUUGCCAUUGUCUUUGUCAUUGUCGGCGAGGUCAAUGAAUGCUCGCGACAGUCCAGCCCACAGGAAUGCGGUCUGCCAUGCGCACACGUCGACUCCUUGGGUGUCUGCUCCUCCUGCGGCAAUGCUCGCGACAUUGUCUCUCUCAUCAGAAUAUACAAGCCAAGUUUAUAAUAAUGAAAAAGUGAUUCCCAAUAGCAUAUGAAAAUGACAUAACACGAAACUCUCUAUAUAAAGAACAAGGUGCCACUUUGAGGCACAAGUGUGGUAAAGGAUAGUAACAAAGUCCCUUCUCUCAUUUUUUAUUAUGGUGGGCUCAGUUGGCCUCCCCCGUUCUUAUUCCCUCAAUGGGACAGUGCUUUAAUAAUAAUGAUCAUCACACUUUUUUUACUUACAACUUAAUGAAAACUUGAUGUGAAGAACUAUGAAGCAAUAUGACUCAAUAUGGAUGCCUCUGUGAGUGUACCAGGAUGUGCAAUGAUCUAGCGUGACAUGUAUAAGCAAUAUGAUGAAUGAUGACUUUGCCACAAAUACUAUGUGAGCUCUAUAUGAUCAUGCAAAGCAGUAUGAUGACGAACGAACUAGUCAUAUGAUGUAACGGUCAAAUUUGCAUGGCAAUAUAUCUCGGAAUGGCUAUGAAAAUGCCAUAAUAGGUAGAUAUAGUGGCUAUUUUGAGGAAGAUAUAGGAAGGCUUAUGUGUGGCAGAGCGUAUCAUGCCACGGGAUUUGGAUGCACUAGCGAAGUUUUGCACUGAUCCUCGAGGUGAGAAUGGGCAAUGCACGGUACCGAAGAGGCUAGAAAAAUAUGAGGAGGUGAGAUUGCGUAUAUCCAUGAUUUCACAUUAGUCAUGAAGAACUCAUAUACUUAUUGUAAAGUUUUAUUAGUUUUAUCACAAAUCAAAGCACUAUCCGUGUGCCCCGAGGGAGGGGUUGGGAGGAGUUAACCAUCGUGCGCCUCCGACCCGAAACAACACUAGGGUUUUAACAAGGAAUAGAAAUGCUCACACAUCCCCACCAUGCCUUUUUAAUAUAUUGACAAUCAAGAAAUUAACAUCUCUUAAUACUGAUACUUCUACAAAUCUACGAUGAUGCACUUACACCUUUUUCAUAUUACCACAUGAAUAUCAUUAACCCACAAUCUGUCUUUGUGCUCUACAUGAUGGUUUUGAUUAUCACUCACUGAAUAUUUUUGGACUAGACUUAUGACCCGUGCAAAUUACCAUCACUAUUCAUUAACUCUCAAAAAAAUAUAAGUGAAGAACAAGAGUGCAAAUAUUUCUAUCAAACCUAUAUGCCACCGUGCUCAAAAAGAUAUAAGUGAAGUACUUGAGCAACUACUAAGAUCAAAAGAUAUAAGUGAAGCACAUAGAGUUUCUAGCAAAUCAUGAUGGAAGUGUCUCUCUCUCAAAUAGGUGUGUCCAAAAAAUGAUGAUUGUGGCAAACUAAAAAUAAAAUAAAAUGAUGCUCCAAGCAAAAACUCAUAUUAUGUGACGAUAAAAAUGUAGCUCCAAGUGACAUACCGAUGGAUUGAGACAGAAGAGGAGAUGCCUUCCGGGGCAUCCCCAAGCUUAGACGCUUGAGUCUUCCUAGAAUAUUACCUUGGGGUGCCUUGGACAUCCCCAAACUUAGGCUCUUGCCGCUCCUUAUUCCUUUGUCCAACGUGAUAACACCCAAAACUUGAAAACUUCAAUCACACAAAAAUCAACAAAACUUUGUGAGAUCCGCUAGUAUAAGCAACAUAUCAAAUGCUUUAGGUACUUUUAUAAAUUUAUUCAUAUUUAAUUAUUCAAUAAUAGGUACUGUAUUCUAACUUCUUCAUGGCUUAUACCUCCUGAUACAAUCCAUAGCAUCAUCAAAACAAGCAAUCUAUGCAAGCAGAAACAUAAUCUCUCUAAAACAGAACAAUUUCUAAUGAUCUGUAAACAACCAGUACUUCUUUAACACAAAAAAUUCUGCAAAAUUAGGAAGACCUGUGGAAUUUUAUAGCAAUAUUGUGCAAAAAUUCAGCUUAAAAAUAUGUUCUAGUAAAAUCACGUAAAUUCUACACUGGACGUCAAAGUUUCUGUUUUUGGACCAUAUCAAUUCUACUUAUCAUGCAAGUCGUCCCAAAGGCUUUACUUGACAAAAACACUAAUUUAAACAUAAAACACAAUAAUUACACAGUAAAUAAUCAUGUUAUCUGAAAAUAAUAGAAUUAUUGGGUUGUCUCCCAACAAGCUCUUUCUUUAUAGCCAUUAAGAUAGGCUUGUGAUAAUAAUGAUACUCACAUGAUGACGAAAAUUGAAGCACAAAGAGAGCAUAAAGCAUGUGAAAAAUACAUCAAGUAUAACACACUUCCGAUGCAUAUUCGUUUUGUAGGAAAAAAAUCUCAAGACAUGUGAAAUCUAGCAUAUGCAAAUAGGAAGAGUGAAGCAUUAUUAAUUUCAACAUANNNNNNNNNNNNNNNNNNNNNNNNNNNNNNNNNNNNNNNNNNNUCAACAUAAAGAGAGGUAAUUGAGUAGCGUGAAAAUUUCUAUAACCGUAUUUGCCUCUCUCAUAAUAAUUGCAUGUAGGACCAUAUUCAAAUUCAAGUAUAUAGCUAUCAUAUAAAAUAUUUUCUCUACGAUCUACAUGCACAAAAGUUUUACAAUCUUCCAAGAUAGUGGGAUCAACGUUAACUAAAGUCAUGACCUUUCCAAGCCCACUUUUAUCAAUAAAAUCGUAAGAUUGAACACUCUCCGAAUAUAUGGGAUUCUUAUCUAAAGUUGACACUCUUCCAAAUCCACUUUCAAUAUUAUUGGAAACAUUAUUAACCAGAACAUAUUCAUAAUGGGGCUUAAAUAAAUUUUCAAGAUCAAAAGAAACAACAUCACCCCAAUCAUGAUCAUUGAAAUAAGUAUUGUACAUAAGAGAAUUAUCAUCCCCAAGCUUGUAGUUUUGCAUAUUGCUAGGACAAUUGGCAUUAAUAGAAUUUAUAGUAACAUCAUUGCAAUCAUGCUUUUUGGUGCAAUCUGUCUAAAAUAAGAUUUCAUUAUCAUUAAACUCAGAGAGGUAGGGAAGGUGUUUCUUAGGACUCUCACAACAAAAAGUAUAAUCAUAAAUUUCACACAGAUUCCAAGCAUAACACAUUAAACAUUUUANNNNNNNNNNNNNNNNNNNNNNNNNNNNNNNNNNNNNNNNNNCAUUAAACAUUUUAUUUGAUCGCUUAAAAGUCUCCCCUUUUGAGACAACCGAUGUUCCCUUUAGAGACAACCAAUGACACACAAAAUAAGUAAGCUCGUCUAAUUAUUUCCCCUCAACUAAGCUAGUUGGGUUUUCAACACGAGCACAAAUGGAUCGAAGAUGAUCCAAGUAGAAUACUUUAUGUGGAUCCAUAAGUCUUUACUUUCUAUUUUUUUGUGAUAACAUGAUUAUUGCAAGAAAACAAGUAACUAGAAAAGAUAAAUAUUUUUGUAUUUUUGUUUUUUAUGAAGCAAACUAAAUAUAACAACAAAUAAAAAGAAGAAAAAAUGAAUGAUAAUUUGUGUGGAGUGACUUGAUAGUUGGUGAUGAUAUUUCCCGGCAAUGGCGCCAGAAAUCCUUCCUCAUACUUGUGAUGUGUGUAAGCACUAUGAAGAGUAACGGGUAAUUUCAGCACAAUACAGGUAAGUAUUUCCCUCAGUUAAGAAACCAAGGUUUAUCGAACCAAUGGGAAUAUCAAUCCUCAACCGUCUUGAGCGGCUGCACACAAAAGAUCAAACAACUUGCACCCAACACAGGCAAGAGGGUUGUCAAUCCCCUUGAUCUCAUUAUUUGCAAGAAAGUGAUGUGUGUAAAUAAUUGUGAAUUGCAAAAUAAAAUAAAAUACAAAAAGGCAGCAAGCUAAACAUAAGUUUUGUAAAUAUAUAAGUGAAUAGACCCCGGGGCCAUAGUGUUCCCUAGUGGCAUCUCUCAUGAAAGAAACAUACGGUGGGUAAACAAAUUAUUAUUGGGAAAUUGAUAGCAAAGCAGAUAGUUAUGCGAUGUUCACGACAAUGAUCAUGUGUAUAUAGGCAUCACGUCCAUAAGCAAAUACGCCGGCUCCUGCCUACACCUACUACUGUUACUCCACUUCAAGAGCGCUUCUAUGCUUGCCUCUCCACGUAUUAAGUUCAUGACAAACAGAGUAAUGCUUGGAGAAGGAUGACACGAUGUAGACAAAGUAAACUCAAUCAAUAUGAAUAAACCCCAUCGUUUUAUCCUUAGUAGAAACAAAACAAAGACACAUCUUGUCCCCUUUUGUUACUCGGAUAUAGAAACCCGUCAGGUUGAACCCACUACAACACACACCUCUCACUGAAGAACUAUCAAUCCACCUAGCUAAAGCAAUUCAAUAGAUCGGAGAGAUUUAUGAAGCUACGAUGAUCAUGCAAUUAAGAAUCAUAAUAAUGAGGUGUGACUCAAAUACUUUUCAUGAAUAAGCUGAACAUAAAGCCACAAUUCAUCGGAUCCCAACAAACACACCAUACAAAAGUAUUACAUCAGAUGGAUCAAAGCGAAGACGCGAUGAUCAUUAUAUUGAAGAUCGAGAGAGAGAGAGAGAGAGAGAGAGAGAGAGGAGAGAGAGAGAGAUGACCAUCUAGGUACUAACUAGGGACCCGUAGGUCUGUGGUGAACUACUCACACAUCAUCAUGAGGGCAGCAAGGUUUAUGAAGAGGCCCUCUGUGAUUGAUCCCCCUCUGGUAGCUUGCAGGAACAGAGCUCUAGAUGAGAUCGCGGCGGAACACAGACUUGCAACGGCGAAAAAAUUGUUUCAUGAUGCCCUCCAGGAUUUUUGGAAUAUAUGUGAAUUUAUAGGCCACAGAAAGGAGGUAGGAGGGCCACCAGGGAGGGACAAGCCAUAAGGGCAUGUCGACCCCCCCCCCCCCGCCCGGCCCCUGGGGGCUUCUGCCUCCCUCGUGGGGCCCCGUGCCUUGGUGGCUUCUGCCUCCCUCGUGUGGCCUCCGAUCUUCUCCUGAGGCUUCUAGGUUUUCUUUUGGUGUAUAAAAAAUCAUAAAAAAGUUUUAGGGAAAUUGGACUUCAUUUGGUAUUGUAAACCUAAAAAGUAAAAAACAGCCAGAAAACGACAACUGACACUAGGCAUUGGGUCAAUAAGUUAGUGCUAAAAAAUAAUAUAAAUUGGUAAAUUAUUACUCAAAAAGCAUCCUAGAAUGAUAAUAUAAUAGCAUGGAACAAUAAAAAAUUAUAGAUACGUUGGAGACGUAUCAACUGCCUAUUGGAACAUGUUCUUCAUAAGCAUUGUGAGCCAUAUUAAAUUCAACAUCUCUAUCUUUAGUUGCCUUGGCCACCAUGAUAUUUAGAACUUUGAAAUCAUAGUUGUCUAUCAUUUCUUCAACGACAUCUUGACUGUCGAGAAGAAAUAAUCCACCCUGACUAGUUCCUACUUCAUUUAUCCUGUACAUGUAGUUAGUUGAUCCAUAGCCUUCAGUUUCAGUCAGUGCUAUCAAGUUGAGAAAUGUGAUGUCUGAAAGAGAGAACUUUCUUUCCAUGUUAUCUCUGCCCUGGAAAUGCAGCCUCACCUCCCAAAUGUCAUCAUUUAGCUUGCAUUAUAAAAAUUACUGAAUAAAUGUCCUGUGCUACAAAAUUUUUGUUAUGGCCCACUAACUACAAAAUACAGUAGGCAUCCAACUAAAUCACUAUUGCAUUAACCUAACCUAGGGUACAAAUGCUUCUUUGUAUCUACACUACUUCCUAAAUACUCCAUCACUGCUGCAUCAAUGUAAGUACAUGUUCUAGUUGGAUCACUAGUGAACUAAACUAGCACUAAUGAAUUAAACUAGGGUUUGUUCUAGAGAAGACAAAAAACUUACUCAACCCCUUCAAAUACAGACGCCGGAUAGUGCGAGUUGGCGGGAUCCGUGGCAAAAGAUCUAGCAAGAGCCCUGGCCGAUCCGUACUCAAGCGAGAACUGUUGAUUAUCCGGCGACGGUGGUGCAGCCUUUGGCGCGGCCGGAGGUGUCCGCUGUGGCACCGACGCCAAUGUUGCAAAGCUGCCGCUACCCAGCGAGUUUUCCACUUCCGAAUAUUCUCCGCUAUAGCCAUCCCCCGUUCCACCUCCCCCAUAGAGUGGUCAUCGUCACCUGGCUUCGUUGCCACUGACGACAUCGUACGAUAGGAAGAUAGAGUGAGAGAAGAGAGGGGAGGGGGCGAAAGAGACUGAGCGUGGUCGGUCACUUUGACCCUGGUCAGAAUGGGUCGACCUAAUGACCGUUAGCACGCGGACUGUCAUCCCCUAGCCGACAAAACCAUGACGGGCGGGACCCACAUGUCAUAAGCUCACUUAAAAUGUAACUGUUUGGCCAGUUGGGUUUUUGGAAUAGUGUACCACUUUGUGGCAGUUUUUUGGAAAAUUAAAAAGUGAUAGUUUCUUAUGGUCAAUGCAUGUAAUGUGGUAGUUUUUUUUUGCUAUAUACUCAGUUGGGAGAGUCCGAUUUGUAGGCAGGGUCGCGCAGCUACACCAGCGUUAGGAGGGCGUGGUCUCGACACACCUCCUCCGCGAGCGCCCGUGGCACCGCUGGCACGGGGAUGCGGUGCAGGUCAAGGUGCCAACCAUGGGGCAAGUUGACAUCCGGAUACGGCUGCUUGCACGCAGAUCCAUCUCGUAGGCGGACGGCGGCGACGAUGACGGAGGUCGAGGCACGUGGGAUGAGCUAGAGCUGGCAUGGAGCUUCCCCUUGCCCUUGCCAAAGAAACCCAUGGAUAGGGUUUUGUUGUCGCCAGCAAGAGGGGCAAGCUUAGCCAGAUCUGAACGGGGAGGGGAAGUCGAUGAGGCCGGCCCUCGCCCCGCAUACUUGCAUUAAAAAGGACGACGACCUGGUGCUCUCACUCACUACCAAGCGUGCCCAAGUUUGCUGGCCGCGUUUAAUACGACCGUAGGUCGUGGUUGUGCGUCCGACAAGUUGGUGUGUGGCGGACACAGAACAAACAUGCGGUGCAUUGGUCUCUCGUCCGUGUUGAUGUGGUUUAAACAUAAAUUUGAACCUAAAAUGCAUUUAGACAAAUAACGAGAUGACGACUGAUGUCCCACAAGCAUAUGGGAUCGUAGAAGUUUUUGAGGGUAGAGUAUUCAACCCAAAUUUAUUGAUUCACUCACAAGGGGAAGCUAAAGAAUAUUCUCAAGUAUUAGCACCUGAGUUGUCAAUUCAACCACACCUGAAAGAUUAGUGUCUGCAAGCAAAGUAUCAGUAGCAAGGUAGUACUAUAGCAACGGUGCCAGGAAAAGCCUUGCUGACGGGAUGUUAGCGCCAACAAAGUCUUGCAACAAGUAACAAUGGAGUAGUAAGGAACAGUAGUAGCAGCAGCAACAAAGUAACAAGUAACAGUAGUAGUGACAGCAGCAGCAAAGUGGCCCAAUCCCUUUGGUAGCAAGGGACAAGCCUAGGCAAAGUAACGUAGCGAGAACCAGUAGUAAAAGACUCGUAGGCAGUGGAUCGGUGAUGGAUGAGUGUGACGGAUGUGAUUCAUCAUGUAACAGCUAUAACACGGAGAGAUAGGUAACUAGCUCCCAUUCAUCAAUCUAAUGUAGGCAUGUAUUCCGUAUGUAGUCAUACGUGCUUAGGGAAAAGAACUUGCAUCACAUCUAUUGUCCAUCCCUCCCAUGGCAGCGGGGUCCUAAUGGAAACUACGGGAUAUUAAGGUUCUCCUUUUAAUAAAGAACCGGAGCAACGCGUUAACACGCGGUGAAUACAUGAACUCCUCAUACUAUGGUCAUCUCCGGGAGUGGUUCCGGCUAUUGUCACUUCGGGGUUGCCGGGUUAUAACACAUAGUAGGUGACUACAACUUGCAAGAUAGGAUCUAAAACACACAUAUAUUGGCAACGACAUAAUAGGUUCAGAUCUAAAAUCAUGGCACUCGGGCCCUAGUAACAAGCAUUAAGCAUAGCCAAGUAGUAGCAACAUUAAUCUAGAACAUAGUGGAUACUAGGGAUCAAUCCCGGUCAAGAACUAACUCGAUUACAUGAUAGAUCUCAUCCAACUCAUCACCGUCCAGCAAGCCUACGAUGAGAUAACUCACGAACGAUGAACAACAUCAUGGAAUUGUCGGUGGAGAAAGGUUGAUGAUGAUGAUGGCGACGAUUUCCCCUCUCCGGAGCCCGAAACGAACUCCAGAUCUGCCCUCCAGAUGAAGAACAGGAUGUGGCGCCGCCUCCGUAUCGCAAAACGCGAUGACACCUUCUCUCUGAUUUUUUUCCACGCAAAACGGAAGAUAUAGAGCUGAGUUUGGGGGCGGUGGUGCCACGUGGGCCCCACAAGCCUGCACGGCGCGACCAUAGGGGGUGGCCGCGGCCUGUGGGCUUGUGGCCCACUCGCACGCCCCCUCAGGUGGAUCUUUGCGCAGGUAUUUUUCUUUUAUUCCAAAAAAAUCUUCGUAAAUUUUCAGGACAUUCCGAGAACUUUUAUUUCUACACAAAAACAACACCAUGGCAAUUCUGCUGAAAACAGCGUCAGUCCGGGUUAGUUCCAUUCAAAUCAUGCAAAUUAGAGUCCAAAACAAGGGCAAAAGAGUUCGGAAAAGUAGAUACGACAGAGACGUAUCAACUCCCCCAAGCUUAAAGACUUGCUUGUCCUCAAGCAAUUCAGUUGACAAACUGAAAGAGACAAAAGCAAAACUUUGACGAACUCUGUUUGAUCUUGUUGUUGUAACUAUGUCUAACUCAUAACCAGAGUUUCAGCAAGAUCACAAUCAAACCACAAAAGAAAAUGACAUCUAGGUCUCACGGUAAACUCAUAUCAAUGGCAUAAUCAACUAGCGAGCAAAUAAUAAUAAGCCUCAAAUGUCAACACUUCAAUCAAAACAACAUGAAGCAGUACGAAUAGAUGGUAUCUCGCUAGCUCUUUUUGAGACCGCAAAACAUAAAUGCAGAGCACCUUCAAAGACCAAGGGCUGACUAAACAUUGUAAUUCAAGGCAAUGAAGAUCCAGUCAUAGUCAUACUCAACACAUUUAAAAGCAAAGCAUAAAAAUGACAAAGGUGCUCUCUAAUUGGUGCUUCUGUAAGAGGAGGAUGACUCAACAGGAACAUAAAUAGACAGGCCCUUCGCAGAGGGAAGCAUUGAUUUGCAGAGAUGCCAGAGCUCAAGCUUUUUGAAAACAGAGAUAAUAAUUUUGGGUGGCAUGCUUUCAUUGUCAACGCAAUGACUAAGAGUUCUCAACAUCUUCGAUGCUACACAUGCUAUAGGCAGUUCCCAAACAGAAAAGUAAAGUUUUGACUCCCCCACCACCAAUCAAUCGCACUCCACGGCUAGCCGAAUCCUCGGGUACCGUCCAUACCAACAUCAAUCCUAGGGGAGUUUUGUUUGCAAUUAUCUUUUCGAUUUGAGCAUGGAACUGGGAAUUCCAAUUACCGGCCCCUUUAUCGUGAAUGAUAGUGAAUAAACACAUAUCGAGGAUAACACGCCUAGCAUGGAAGAUACCAAUAGCCCCCUGUCACCACAUGAGCGGUUCGGGCAUGCAAAACAAAUUAUUUCUUGAAGGUGUAGAGAGUGGCACAUGCAAAUUUACUUGGAAUGGCAGGUAGAUACCGCACAUAGGUAGGUAUGGUGGACUCAUAUGGCACAACUUUGGGUUUAUGGAAGUGGAUGCACAAGCAGUAUUCCCGCUUAGUACAAGUGAAGGCUAGCAAAAGACUGGGAAGCGACCAACUAGAGAGCGACAACAGUCAUCAAAAUGCAUUGAGAUUAACUAACAUUGAGUUCAAGCAUGAGUAGGACACAAAUCAUCAUGAACAUGAACAUCAUAGAGGCUAUGUUGAUUUUGUUUCAACUACAUGCGCGAACAUGCGCCAAGUCAAGCCACUUGAAACAUUCAAAGGAGGAUACCAUCCUAUCAUACUACAUCAUAUUCAUCUCAACAUUCAUGUGGGCAACCAAGACAAACCAUUAUAAACUCCUAGUUAAAUAAGCAUGGCAUAAGCAACUACGAUCUCUAAGUUGUCAUUGCAAACAUGUUUCUCUCACAACAAAGCUGAACUAGGAACAAUGAGCUAGUCAUAUUUACAAAAACAAAAUAGAUCGAGUUCAUACCAGCUUUUCUAGGCUCAGUCACUUCAUCAUAUAUCGUCAUUAUUGCCUUUCACUUGCACGACCGGAUGAUGUGAACAAUAAUAAGAGUGCUUGUGCAUUGGACUACGCUGGAAUCUGCAGGAAAACACAAAGGAGAAGACAAAGUAAUAUGGCUCUUUGAAAGCUAAACAGGUAUGCAUGCAAGAGGCACUAAACAUUGUAACCAAUAUCUUCUACCUUGACCCAAAGAAAAAGAAAACUAUUUACACGGGAAAGCUCCCAACAAGCAAAAGAAGAAAAAGAAAAUCUUUUUGGGUUUUCUCAAACUAGACAGACACACGAAAAUAAAACGAGAAAAAUAAAAUAAACUAGCAUGGAUGAUACAAUGGCAAAGUGUGAACACCGACUAACAAAGUGAAAGCAUAAGCAAGAAUGUAAAGUCGGUGAGAACACGUACUCCCCCAAGCUUAGGCUUUUGGCCUAACUUGGUCUACUCCCAAGGAUGGUCCUGGCGAAACCCAAAAUCUUAAUGGGGGUUAUACGGGAGCGCUGCAUCCAUUGCCUGAAUAGCUGCCUCACGGAAACGAGCAGCCUUUGCCUCCCUCUCAUACUCCUCUGCCUCUCCUGUGGUUAUGUGAUAUCUCUGUUUUACCCGAAAGUCAAAGAGAGCAGGAGCAGGAAGGGUAAUAUGGAAAACACGCUGCCGGUUAAAUAUCAAUCGGUAUAGGAGAGAUUCAUCAUCCCUCUCAAGGAACUGGUAGCGUGUCAAAGCGACGCGGUCAAGGAAAGAUGUAUGGAGCGGGGGAUCUCCUUCGCGGAUGGGUACUCCAAGAAAAUUUGCUAUGCGAGUGGCAUAGAUGCCACGAAAGAAACCCCCUUCAAUAGCAUUCUUAUUCAGCCUCCUUGCUAUAAUAGAUCCCAUGUUGAAGCUUUUGUCACCCGUCACUACGCUCUUAAAGAUACUAAGGUUGGGUGCGCAGAGGUGACAAUGCUCAAUCUUGCCAUUAAUGCAUCUGCCUAUGAAGAGGGCAAAGUAAUGCAAGGCAGGAAAAUGAAUACUCCCCAUGGUAGCUUGCCUAAUGUUUCUAGUUUCUCCAACCGUAAUACCAGCGCAAAAAUCUCUAACCGAAGAUUUAGGAGGAUCAUUGAGGUUACCCCAAAUAGGUAUUUUGCAAAUUCUAUUGAAAUCGUCUAAAUCCAUGGUAUACGAUUUAUCAUAAAGAUCAAGCAGUACCGAUGGCUCACGGCCAGCUGGAAUUUUGAAUCUACGAACAAAAGAGGCAGUGAGAGAAACAUAUUUUUCACAUUUACCGGAGAUGAAUUCUUCGAGUCCGACGUUGUGAACAAGUGCAUCAAACUCAUCUUUGAAGCCUGCCUCAAUCAUAAAUUCAUCAGAAGGCCAUUCACAUAGUUGUACCUGCGCGUCCCUAGGUUGGUAAGGAUCAGGCUCCCAAAUCCCAAGACGGGGACCUCUCUUGCUUGAGGAACCACCAUGAAAUUUUCUUCUGAACAUCUUCCUUUUCUGAAAUUUUCAGUGCCCAAAGGAAAGGUGAACAAGUUUCAACUAAACUUGUAGCAACUACUCCCACAAGUGCCCAGAGACCAUAUUACACAUCAAAACUACUUGGGACCAGCUAGAAUCAGCAUGCAAAGCUCAAGAACAUGGUCACCAAGGCAGGAAAAAUACGCGGAGUAUAAGGCACUAGAGCAAAAACUAAUUGGACCAAUGGAGGAGUCACUUACCAAGGAGUAAUUUCCCGAAAACGGUUCGGAGAACGGUGAUUUGAGCAAAGAGAUCGAAAAUCCCAACAAGAGGAGCAAGAACACGGGUUUGAGCUGCGAAACGAUUUUUUCUGGAGGUAGGAGAAGCGGAUGAGAGCAAGAAUGAGUGGACGGGGUGCCUGUGGGCCCCACAAGCCUGGGUGGCGUGGCCAGGGGGGUGCUCGCGCCCCUAGGGCUUGUGGCCCACUCGUGUGGCCCCCAGACAGACUCUUUGUCCCAGUAUUUUUCAAAAAAUCCAGAAAAAAUCAUACUUGAUUUUCACAGCGUUCGGAGAACUUUUAUUUUCGGGGUACUUUUCUACCGGACGUGAAAACAGAAAACAGGGAAAACUAAGCUAAAUCUAUCAUUUUUCUUCUAAGCAACCUAAAGUAAAAGCUUGGAACAGAGGUUUGUGACUCCUCGAUUCAUCCAUCUCAUGGUCAUCGAAAGAAAUGCGUUAAUGGGGUUGAUCAAAUCCCCUCGACAAAACUUUCUCGAAUCGCAAAAGAAGACGGAGAAUUUUCGAAUAGUCACAGAGUCACCUCAAUGGGGAUGUUAUCUCCCCAACAAGCAAAUCAUACUUCAUCUUGACACGAGGAAUAGGGCAUUCAAAGCUCCCAAUAAGAAUCGAUGAAGUUUUUUCGAUAUCAUUGAUGCAAUGUACUCAAUAUUGUCUCUUCGGAAAGUGCACCGUAUGCUCAUUACCAUUGACAUGGAAAGUGACAUUGCCUUUGUUGCAAUCUAUAACAGCCCCUGCAGUGUUCAAAAAGGGUCUUCCGAGGAUGACAGCCAUGGCAUCGUCCUCGGGAAUAUCCAAGAUAAGAAAGUCUGUUAAGAUAGUGGUGUUAGCAACCACAACACGCACAUCCUCGCAAAUGCCGAUAGGGAAAGCAGUUGAUUUGUCAGCCAUUUGCAGAGAGGUUUCAGUGGGUGUCAACUUAUCCAGUUCAAGUCUACAAUAAAGAGAGAGAGGCAUAACACUAACACCGGCUCCAAGGUCGCAUAAAGCAGUUCUAACGUAGUUUCCUUUAAUGGAGCAAGGUAUAGUGGGCACACCGGGAUCACCUAGUUUCUUCGGAGUUCCACCCUUGAAAGUGUAAUUAGCGAGCAUGGCGGAAAUCUCAACCUCAGAUAUCUUCCUCUUAUUAGUCACAAUAUCUUUCAUGUACUUAGCAUACGGAGACAUUUUGAGCAUAUCCGUCAAACACAUUUGCAGAAAGACAUGUCUGAUCAUCUCAACGAAUUGCUCAAAAUCCUCAUCAUCCUUUUUCUUGGAUGAUUUGGGAGGAAAGGGCAUGGGUUUCUGAACCCAUGGUUCCCUUUCUUUAUCGUGCUUCCUAGCAGUGAAGUCAUUCUUAUCGUAUCUUCUAGUCUUAGGCUGUGGGUUAUCAAGAUCAACACUAGGUUCAAUCUCCACAUCCUUAUCAUUGCUAGGUUGAGCAUCUUCAUGAGCAUCACUAUUGAUAUUAUCAUUAUGCUCAUGUUCAUCACCAGAUUGUGUUUCAGCAUCAGAGACAGAGGCAUCGUUUGGACUCUCGGGGGUAGCAGCAACAGGGUUGCUAGUGCUAACUCCUUGAUAAUCUUGUUCAACUCUCUUCGGAUGACCCUCAGGGUACAAAGGUUCCUGGGUCAUUCUACUGCCUCUAGUAACGACUGUGACGGAAUUGUCAUUCAACUCAUUGAGCAAGUCAUUUUGAGCUUUAAGUACUUGUUCUACCUGAGUAGUAACCAUAGAGGCAUGUUUACUCAGAAGUUUAAGAUCAUUGACAUUUUUGUCCACACAAGCACUUAAAUGACUAAGCAUGCGAGCAUUCUUUUCCAAUUGUCUGCUAACAUAUUCAUUAAAACUCUGUUGUUUGACAACGAAGUUAUCAAAUUCAUCCAGGCAUAAGAUAGUAGGUUUAUCAAAAGGAAUACCACUCUCAUCAAACCUACGCAGAGAAUUUACUGCUACUACCUAUAUCGGGUUAUCGAGACCAUGGAUCUCUUCGAUAUGUGGUAGAUUUUUGACAUCUUCAGAUUUAAUGCCUUUCUCUCGCAUAGAUUUCUUGGCUUCUUGCAUAUCUUCAGGACUGAGGAAUAGAAUACCUCUUUUCUUCGGAGUUGGCUUAGGAGGUGGUUUGGGAAUAGUCCAAGCAUUCUCAUUGCACAAGAUGUUAUUCAACAGAAUCUUAGCUUGUUCUACAGUUCGUUUCCUAAAAACACUACCGGCACAACUAUCUAAGUGGUCUUUGGAAGCAUCGGUAAGUCCAUUACAGAAGAUAUCAAGUAUUUCAUUCUUCUCAAGAGGGUGAUCAAGAAAAUCAUUCAGUAGCUGGAUGAGCCCCCCCAAGCUUGUGGGAGACUCUCUUCUUCAGCUUGAGCAAAGUUGUAUAUUUCCUGCAAGGCAGCUUGCUUCUUAUGGGCAGGGAAAUAUUUUUUAGAGAAGUAGUAGACCAUAUCCUGGGGGCUACGCACACAACCAGGAGCAAGAGAAGUGAACCAGGUUUUAGCAUCAUCCUUUAGCGAGAAAGGAAACAGCUUGAGCAUGUAGUAGUGGCGGAUCUUUUCCUCACUAGUGAAUAGGGUGGCUAUAUCGUGCAGUUUGGUAAUAUGGGCUACAAUCGUUUCAGACUCAUAACCGUGAAAAGAAUCAAAUUCGACUAGAGUGGUUAACUCAGGGUCGACAGAGAAUUCAUAAUGCUUAUCAGUCACAAAGAUAGGCAAAGUGGCAAACUUCGGGUCGUAUUUCAUCCUAGCGUUCAGAGAUUUUUCUUUCCACUUGCGCAGAAGUUUCUCAACAUCAUAGCUAUCCUUACACGCAAGAAUAUCCUCAGCUAUCUCUCCCUCCAUAACAUAGCGCGUAUCAGGCAUAACAGGCAAUUCAGGCAUAGCAGAGCUAGUUCUAGCGGGAAAAAUAGGAGGUUCUACUUCAAUAGUAUCAGCAGUUUCAGAAGUAUCAUCACAUCUAGCAGCAAUUCUAGCAAGUUGUGCAUCAAGGAAUGCACCAAGUGACAAAGCAGUAUCAAGCAUAGCAUCAUCAGGCAUAGUAUCAAGCAUAGCAUCAUCAGGCACAUGCGACAUAUCAAGAUUUCUACAGGAGGGGAUGUCACAAACUUACUCAAAACAGAAGGUGAAUCAAGUGCAGAGCUAGAUGACAGUUCCUUACCUCUCCUCGUAGUGGAAGGUAGGAUUUUAGUUCUUGGAUCUUUCGGAUUCCUCAUAGUGAUCAGCAGACGAAAAUCCCAAGUGACUCAGAGAAUAUAGCUGUGCCUCCCCGGCAACGGUGCCAGAAAAAGCCUUGAUAUCCUACAAGCGUAUGGGAUCCAGCAGUUUUCGAGGGUAGAGUAUUCAACCCAAAUUUAUUGAUUCGCUCACAAGGGGAAGCUAAAGAAUAUCCUCAAGUAUUAGCAGCUGAGUUGUCAAUUCAACCACACCUGAAAGAUUAGUGUCUGCAAGCAAAGUAUCAGUAGCAAGGUAGUACUAUAGCAACGGUGCCAGGAAAAGCCUUGCUGACGGGAUGUUAGCGCCAACAAAGUCUUGCAACAAGUAACAAUGGAGUAGUAAGGAACAGUAGUAGCAGCAGCAACAAAGUAACAAGUAACAGUAGUAGUGACAGCAGCAGCAAAGUGGCCCAAUCCCUUUGGUAGCAAGGGACAAGCCUAGGCAAAGUAACGUAGCGAGAACCAGUAGUAAAAGACUCAUAGGCAGUGGAUCGGUGAUGGACGAGUGUGACGGAUGUGAUUCAUCAUGUAACAACUAUAACACGGAGAUAUAUGUAACUAGCUCCCGUUCAUCAAUCUAAUGUAGGCAUAUAUUCCGUAUGUAGUCAUACGUGCUUAGGGAAAAGAACUUGCAUGACAUCUAUUGUCCAUCCCUCCCAUGGCAGCGGGGUCCUAAUGGAAACUACGGGAUAUUAAGGUUCUCCUUUUAAUAAAGAACCGGACCAACACAUUAACAUGCGGUGAAUACAUGAACUCCUCAUACUAUGGUCAUCUCCAGGAGUGGUUCCGGCUAUUGUCACUCCGGGGUUGCCGGGUCAUAACACAUAGUAGGUGACUACAACUUGCAAGACAGGAUCUAAAACACACAUAUAUUGGCGACAACAUAAUAGGUUCAGAUCUGAAAUCAUGGCACUAGGGCCCUAGUGACAAGCAUUAAGCAUAGCCAAGUAGUAGCAACAUCAAUCUAGAACAUAGUGGAUACUAGGGAUCAAUCCCCGUCAAGAACUAACUCGAUUACAUGAUAGAUCUCAUCCAACUCAUCACCGUCGAGCAAGCCUACAAUGAGAUUACUCACGAACGAUGAAGAGCAUCAUGGAAUUGUCGAUGGAGAAAGGUUGAUGAUGACGAUGGCGAUGAUUUCCCCUCUCCGGAGCCCGAAACGGACUCCAGAUCUGCCCUCCAGAUGAAGAACAGGAUGUGGCGGUGCCUCCGUAUCACAAAACGCGAUGAAACCUUCUCUCUGAUUAUUUUCUAGGCGAAACCGAAGAUAUAGAGCUGAGUUUGGGGGCGGUGGUGCCAUGUGGGCCCCACAAGCCUGCACGACGCGGCCAUAGGGGGUGGCCGCGGCCUGUGGGCUUGUGGCCCACUAGCACGCCCCCUCAGGUGGAUAUUUGUGCACGUAUUUUUCUUUUAUUCCAGAAAAAUCUCCGUAAAUUUUCAGGAUAUUCCGAGAACUUCUAUUUCUGCACAAAAAUAACACCAUGGCAAUUCUGCUGGAAAUAGCGUCAGUCCGGGUUAGUUCCAUUCAAAUCAUGCAAAUUAGAGUCCAAAACAAGGGCAAAAGAGUUUGGAAAAGUAGAUACGACGGAGAUGUAUCAACGACUUUUGAAUUUGAAUCGACUCGUUUUCCCAACGUUUUUGUUUGUUUGUGUGUAAAUGGACACACACCAGACAGUUUGGGUCGGCCUUAGAGCAUCUCUAGCACACCCCGUAUAAAGCUAACUAGCAAAAGUCGUUUACAGUUCGCGGGAAAAGGGUUUUGCAGGCCGCCGCAGGCGUGGACAGAGUGAGAUCCCGCAAAUCGGACCCGUAAAAAAGGACAUUCACAGAAGAUGCUUUUUUGUGGGUCGGCCAUGCGGGGUCUGCUCGAGCGGCACCGCAUUGACCCCGUAAAUCAGAAUUACAAAUGUGCAAUAUAAGUAAAAUGUCAAUAUUACAAAUACAUUAAUCAUCCAAAGUACAAUAGUUAUUUAAAACACCGUAGCAAACUAAAUAAUUGAAUACAAAACUUGUCUCGUAUAUAAAUCACACAUGAACAAAAUGAAAUUGAAUGGAAAAAUGGAAUGUGUUACUGCCGAGUCCUUUGCGAGUGGUGCUCAAUAAGAUCCUCUGAAGUUGACAGUGGGUGUUUGCAUUUUCAAUCUCCGUGUAGGUCUGAAGAAAAGCUCUAAUUCGGUUAAGGUCUCUAGCUGGUUUGACACGGCUACCCAUAUUGUCAUAGAAGAACUCCAAGUUCAUGCCUCUCUCAUCUUCGAGAAUCAUAUUGUGAAGAAUAACACAACAUGUCAUGAUGUUUUCAACGAUCGCUUGUCCCAAAACCGAGCAGGACCACGAAUAAUGGCAAACCUAGAUUGCAAAACUCCAAAUGCUCUUUCAAUGUCUUUUCGGCCUGCCUCUUAUGCCCUUUCAAACUCUUUCCUACUUUGGGGGUCCUUGAUGCUCUUCACAAAUGUGUAUCAAGAAGGGUAUAUCACAUCUGCAAGAUAGUACCUUUUGUGUAUUCAUGUCCAUUGCUAAUGUAGUUGCAAGCUGGAGCAUCACCACUAGCAAGCCUAGCAGGAAAACGAGACCGUCGCAACACAUUGAUAUCAUUUAGAGUACCCGGCAUACCAAAAAAACAAUGCAAACUCCAUAAAUCAUGUGAAGCUACGGCCUCUAGCAUAAUUGUUACAUCACGAGACUUUCCAUGAUACAUUCCCUGCCAUGCUUUUGGGCAAUUUUUCCAAGUCCAAUGCAUACGAUCUAUGCUUCCUAGCAUGCCAGGCCAACCUAUUCUUUCAUUAAAUGCCAUCAAUUUUUUGUGUCUUCCUCGUUCGAUGCCUGAAGAUAUUCAGGACCAAAGACACGGACAAUCACUUUGGCAAACCAACGCACAGACUCAAUUGUACUAUAUUCCCCAAUGCGAAGGUACUCAUCAGUAUAGUCAUCCGGAACACCGUAUGAAAUUACCCGCAUAGCUGCCGAGAUUUUUCGGUAUGCACUAAAUCCCUUCAAGCCCACAACAUUCCUUCUUUGAGUAAAUAUCGACAAUUGGCCUCACAAGUUUGAACAAUUUUUACAAAGAGGGAUCUACGCAUACGGUACCUUCUCCGGAAGAGGUGCGGCGGGUAUGUUCAAUUGGCGGCGAAGUAGUCUUUCAUCAGCAUCUCGUUCCUGAGAUGUCGAUUUCGAUGAUUGCAAAGACGGCCGACGGUCGAUCCUUGCCGCCUCUUUCGGUUCUCGUCUUCGUGCUCCUUCACGGCAAGGGCCAUCACCAAACUCUGCUGGUGAAAUGUGAGAAGCAUCGUCUCAACAUCCGAGUCAUCCGAAUCGGAUGAAUCCUCGAACAUAAACUUCCCGCGCACGCUCAACUCCAUCUCUUAUGGUGGCUCCCCGGCCGCGGUGGAUUGGCGGAUCCGGAGGAGCCGAUGCAGCAGCUCGGCGGAAGAGGGCAGGUACGCCCCAGCGACGCGAUUCACCCCGUAGAUUUGGCGGAAUCGCCGGCGACAGACUGGCGGGGGGGGGGGGAGGGGGGNNNNNNNNNNNNNNNNNNNNNNNNNNNNNNNNNNNNNNNNNNNNAGGGAAAGGGCGCGGGCUGAAAUGCCUGUCCCGUCAACCGCUUCCCUUAGAUACAGGGCACCGUAUAGGCGAGGCGGAAACCAGUGUUUUCGCGGAUCGGGAAGGGGAUUUUGCCGCGCCCCUCAAAACAAUUUAUGGGUCAGACGCAUUUGCAGGGCCUGAUCGGGCAACAUUUUUCAUGUAGACCCGUAUUUUGAUGGUUAUUUUGCGGAUCAACGCAUUAUAUGGGAUGUGGUAGAGAUGCUCUUAUGUCAGCAAAAGCUGAUUUGGUUCGAUGGGGUGAGACUUGGUAGCUUUGGAACCUUCGAUUAUGGAUGUUCAAUUUCUGCUCAGACGUAGGCGAUACAGUUUGAAGAGGAUGAAUCAUGCCGCACGAACUACAUGUCCACCUUGGUAUCUUUUCACUAGACUUGGGCACAGUGCCGGAGUAUAGUGUAAGCGCAUAGCGUGGAGUGCUAACAUCGAACACACUAUUGACAUUGUCUCACCUGCUACUCUUGGGAAUUGAAGUUUUUUUCCUUUUUCUUUUUCAAAACGGAUGGGAAUUGAAGCUUUAGUAUUAAUAGUAUGCGCCUUCUUGGACUUAGAAUGAAGAUCAAAUUUUAGAAUAACCAACUACAGCUUAAUUAUAGCCGAAUGCUAGCGAUUUGAGCAGGACACCAUUAAAAUGUACGCCCUCAGUUCGAGAUUACUUUUUACAAAAGGAGGAUUUCCUCCAACCUUUAUAUCAAUAAAAUGCAUGCAGUCAUUUUAUUAAAUAAAACAAUUAAAUGCGGUUUCAAAUAAUCUCUAUAGGUUCAGCAAAAAAGCAAAGACAAACAGAAGAUGUCACAACCGGUCAAUAUAGAUCUAGAUGCUUAUCAUCUAUCCUAUUACUGGACCGUCAUCCAAAUCGGUUGUACAUAUCCCGAGCUAUCAUCUUUCAUCGGACACACCCAGUAACCAAAGGCUUCCUGGUUGCCGCACGAGUGAGUAACGACCAUGUACGGAUCAACACUGAUGCCCUAUAUAGUACCUGCAAAAAAUUUAUAGUUGUUUGCCUAUUAAAAGUCAUGUCAUUCCUGCAGUUCGAUAAAGCCCAAAGCAAUGCACAUACUCCUAUACGAAUAUGUUUAGCAAUAUCUAUGUUCACUUCAUUUAGCCACGUCCCAAACAACGUCUCAAUGCUAUCCGAAGGUAUGAUAUUAAAAGCUAUACGAAUUGUCUGCCAUAAAAAAUUUGCUAACGGGUAAUGGAGAAAAAGGUGUUUGAUAGAUUCAUCCUCAUCACAAAAGCUANNNNNNNNNNNNNNNNNNNNNNNNNNNNNNNNNNNNNNNNNNNNNNNNNNNNNNNNNNNUUUCCAAUUGAGUUUUGCCAGAUUAUCCCUAGUAAGAAUCAUCUUCUUGUGAACAAACCACAUAAAAACUUUGAUUCAUAGGGGAACUUUGACCUUCCAGAUAUGAAUGGACUUGGAGACAAGAAAUAUGCCAUUAGUUGUUAACUUCCAAUGAAGCAUGUCAGACUCGACCGAUAAUCGAACAUCCAUGAGUCUUCUAACUAAAUGUAACCAAACCUUCCAUCGAUGACCUAUUAAAUCUCUACGGAAUUGAAUAUUUAGAAGAGUAGACUGUAAUAUUAUGGCAACGUACGCCUCCUUACUCGAUGACCCACUAGUAGAAAAAGGGUCUUUCGGCCGAGGGCCGAAAGACCAUUAGUCCCGGUUCAAAUCAAAACCGGGACCAAUGCCACGCAUUGGUCCCGGUUCGGUUCACCUCACUAGUCCCGGUUCGGGGAAAAACCCGGGACUAAAGAACCAGCGACUCCCACAUGGCGUGCCACGGAGCAUUAGUCCUGGUUUGUGGCACGCACCGGGACUCAAGGGUAGGCUAUUAUACCGUCGCCCCUGCCCACACUCUCCUCUGUAUUUUGGCUGAAGUGUUCCCAUGCCAUGCCACCCUUGCCACUCUAGUUCAUGCACUUGACGUGUUUGAUGAAAUGCCCGAGCCACACUAGUUAAGCUUUCUCCUCUCCAAACUCGACCUCCAAACUCCAUUUUCCUCAAUAUUUGUCUAGGUUUGACCGUGCACCAACUCCACAAAUGUUUUAAAAGGUUAGCUACUUCAUCCUUUCAUCUUUCACUGCUAGUUUAGCUCAUUUUAAAUGCUCAAAUUAACUUCUUAGAGUCUGCACAUGUGUAGGGUGCCGUCCCGUGCCCGUCCUCACUGUUGUCGAUCGCCCUGCGUCGAUCUCGUCGCGAGCACCACCGUGGUGAGCCUCUUGUUCUUGUCUUCUUUUUAAAACAAAAAAAAAUCUUACUUGUAUGAUUUAGAUACAUACUUGUAUAAAUUACCUACUUUUAUUAUUUUUUGUUAUUAUAUAGUACGAUGGUUUUGGUAUUCGCCUCCGUCGGCCCUCGUCCUGUCUAUGAUUCGGAUGUGGUAUAUAUUAUCUUUUAUAACUAUUUGUUUUACUUAUUGUUUAUGACAAUUAUGACGACCAACGUGACAUAUAUUUUUUAAUCUAGGAGGUAUGUGAACCGGAAAUUCCAACCCACAUAGAAAUUCUUCUCGAGAAGUUAAAUUUGGUUGAAAAUGAAAACAAAUACUUGAAGGAAAAAUUAAAAAUAAUUGAGGACAGGAAUAUGGAAUUGGAGUUGCAUGUCGCCGAUGUCAUCGAUGAUCGUGAGAUGAAGAUCGAUGCGAUGUUGUUGAAGAUGGAUGCAAUGCGCUCAAAGAUGGAUGAAAUGCGCUUGAAGAUUAGGAAUAUUAGAAAAUAUGCCAUUGAUAAAGAGGCUUGGUAUCAUUAUGCUCUUGGAUCAAUUGUUACCUUAGUUGCGAUUUUGAUCGCAUUUGUUGUUGCACUUAAAUGUUUUACAUAGUUGUAUGUUGUUUUAUGAGAGAACUUUAUGUAUUUAUUUUUGUAAUAAUAACAUUUGAUCACUACUAUGCUUUGCUUUUAAUGUGAUGAUGAACUUGUAUUAAUUUGGUCAUUUCUUUAUUCAUGAUGUUCCGGAAUGGUUUUUGAUAUACUUAAUUUCAUAAUAGAGAUGAACUGCUAAUGGAUGUACGAUGACCGGCGCAUUCGGAGUACAUUACAAACCGGGACUAAUUAAUGCCCGAGUCACACUAAAUUACACAUGAAAUGGUAUCCUCGACCGAGGUUAGCAACCUUCUUCAUCUGUAAUUGAUACACAAGUAUUGCAUGUGUCAAUGUACGGUGGUCAUUUCACUAUUCAUGUAUGAUGCCAGAUCGAUGCACAGAAGUGAUGGAUGUACGGCGAACGACGCGGUUCCAGAUUUAUUGCAGGCCUGCAUAAAUUCAUCGAUGUGGCUGAGGCAAACAAAGUGGAUAAUUUUAUGCCUUGCCCAUGUGUUGGUUGUCAAAACGGGAAGGAGUACUCUAGCUUGAAAGUCAUUCAUCUCCACUUGCUUCAGAGAGGUUUCAUGCCCACAUAUUAUUGUUGGACCAUCCACGGAGAAAGAGGGGUUACGACGGAAGACAAUGAAGAAGAAGAUGAUGAUGACAACUAUCAUAUGUUCACUGAAGAACACGGUGAUACUACAAUGGAAGACAAUGAAGAAGAAUGAGGUGAAGAACAACCGACAUCAUAUGAGCCCGCUGAUAGUCUUGGUCGGGUCAUUUCUGAUGCUAAGAGAGAAUGCGAUACAGAAAAGGAGAAGCUCAAGUUGGAGGCCAUGCUAAAGGAUCAUAAAAAAUUGUUGUACCCAAGUUGCGAAGAUGGCAGCACAAAGCUCGGUACCACACUGGAACUGUUGAAAUGGAAGGUAGAAACUGGUUUAUCUGACAAGGGAUUUGAGAAGUUACUAAAAAUAUUGAAGCCGAAGCUUCCAAAGGAUAAAGAAUUGCCCGAGACUACAUACGAAGCAAAGAAGGCUAUCUGCCCUCUUGGAUUAGAUGUGCAGAAGAUACAUGUAUGCAUUAAUGACUGCAUCCUGUACCGCGGUGAGAAGUAUGAGAAUAUGGAUAAAUGCACGGUAUGCACUGCAAGUCGGUACAAGAUUAGACAGGAUGACCCUGGUGAUGUUGAGGGCGAUGACGAGCCCCCCCAGGAAGAAGGUUCCUGCUAAGGUUAUGUGGUAUGCUCCUAUAAUACCACGGUUGAAACGUUGUUCAGAAACAAUGAGCAUGCCAAGUUUAUGCGAUGGCACAAAGACGAGCGUAAGAAAGACAGGAAAAAGUUGAGACACCUCGCAUAUGGGUCGCAGUGGAGGAAAAUCGAGAGGGAGUGGCCGGACUUUGCAGAUGACUGAAGGAACUUAUGGCUUUGUCUAAGUACAGACGACAUGAAUCCUUUUGGGGAGCAGAGCUGCAGUCACAACACCGUGCCCGUGACUCUAUGUAUCUACAACCUUCCUCCUUGGUUGUGCAUGAAGCGGAAGUUCAUUAUGAUGCUAGUGCUCAUCCAAGGACCGAAGCAACCCAGCAACGACAUUGAUGUGUACCUAAGGCCAUUAGUUGAUGAACUUUUGCAGUUGUGGGCCAAACCAGGUGUACGUGUGUGGGAUGAGCACAAACAGUGGUGGUGUACAUGUUUGGGAUGAGCACAAACAACAGGAAUUUGACCUACGAGCAUUGUUGUUCGUAACCAUCAAUGAUUGGCCAGCUCUUAGUAACAUUUCAGGACAGUCAAACAAGGGAUACAAUGCAUGCACGCACUGUUUAGAUAUGGCUAAAGGUACAUAUUUGGAAAAAUCUAAGAAGGUUGUCUACCUGGGGUGUCGUCAAUUUCUACCGACCAAUCAUCCCGUGUCACACCCAAGAUGCGACCCUAUCCUCAAUUUGGCACGAGGGCCUCGUCAGGGAUAGAAGCGCAUAUCGUUGUUUCGCAAGAAUGGAUAUCGUUACAAGUACAUGUACUGAAAAGAAGAUAUAUAUAGAGGGGAUGAUCUAUGCAUAAUGGACGUGAACUACUGAUGAUCAAAAGAAUGAUCCUGAACACCUACCUACGUCAGACAUAACCCCACCAUGUCCUCGAACGAAGGAGGAGCUCAGGAAAGAGACAGUCACGGUUACGCACAGACUUGGCAUGUUUUAGUUAAGUCAACUUCAAGUUAUCUAGAACCAGUGUUAAACAAAGUUUCCACGUUGCCACAUAACCGCGGGCACGACUUUCCGAAAAGAUUUAACCCUGCAGGGGUGCUCCAACUAGUCCAUCACAAAUUACCACAAGCCGCAUAGAAAUCCUCAAUCACGAAGCUCGCGAUCUUGUCGGAUUCCCUAGUGGAAAACCUCAACUCUAAGAUUACCCAAAGCAUCACCGGAAUCCUGAUGCAGAAGAUAUCUCGUCAAAGGUAAAACUAAUCCAGCAAGGCCGCCCGACGUGUCGACGAACCCGAUAGGAGCCUUGUAUCUCGUUCUCACGACACGACGGAUGGAAAAGCCUACAGGUACCAAACCUCGAGUUGCCCCGUGGUGGCCCCGCAGUCUGUCCAUUUUGGACCAACACUCAUGAGGAGCACUCGCCCGGGGGUUGAUUAAAUUUCCUCGGAUUAAUUACUUCCUAUGCGGUUCAUUAGUUAUUAGGAAAAUGUAGUACCAAAGUUGGGCCUUGCCAGACCAGCUUUAAUCUAAAACGAAUUAUCAAGGGGGUCCCCAUAACAACCCCAAUCGUGUUAGGAACGCUCAAUUAUGGAACAUAACACCGGUAGCCGAAAACUAAGGGGGCAAAGGUGGAACAAAACACGAGGCUAGAAAGGCCGAGCCUUCCACCUUUUACCAAGUAUAUAGGUGCAUUAAAUUAAAUAGCAUUUAAUAGGGUGAUAUAACAAGGAACCCAUGUUUUCACAUGGAAGCAAUGCACCUGCAACUAGCAACGCUAACACAGGGUUAAGCAAGUGGUAACAUAGCAAAUUAGUGGUUUUCUAGGUUGAAGGUUUUCAUGGCAUUGUUGAGAGGCUGAUAUUUAACAUGUGGUAGGCAACGAGACAUAAUCGAUAGAAAUGGUAAAACUAGCAUGGCAAUGAUAGUAAUGGUAUCUGGGGAAAUGGUCAUCUUGCCUGAGAUCCCGCUCGGAAGAAGAACAACUCCGUGAAGCAGACGAACCGACGUAGUCGAACGGGACCUCACAAUCCGACACGCUUGCGGAACUCUAUCGAGACGGAGGAAACCAGAAACAAGCAUCAACACACGAGAUUCACCACAUGAUGCACCACAUGAUGCACAACCUACUAUGAUGCAUGAUCAGUUCAAUGAUGCAAGGCAUGGCAUGGCAGUUCACCUCACGCAAACACUACACAUUAAGUCAGGCUCGAUAUGCAACGAGUUGCAUAUCGACGGAACAACACAUUUAAUUCUUUAAUUCACUCCCAUUUAUUUACACGCAAUAUUAAAUUGUUGUUAACAUGGCAAGGGGUGAAGCGAUGAUCCUACAUGUCAUCCUAGUCGGUUAACACACGGAGCAUAGAUCGGGGCUACGGACAAGAGACAUGCAACACAACAUAUAUGCCAUGAAUGCGUCAUGCAUGCAAGUUACAACAACACGUGAAAGAAGAGAUAGAAACAUGUGUCGCCACGGCGAGCGGAAGGGAACCUUGGCGGCAAAAUGGAAAUGAUGCCACGGCAACGUUCCUAUCCCGAUAACUCCUCGAGAUAUGGGUGCCAAAGAAUAGGAAGCGUGUGCGUGACAAACCAAAUGAUGAUGGGGUGAUCCCGUUUAUCGGGUUCCCGUGUGUCGAGGGCACGACGAAAAGGAAGACAACGUGCAACGGGCAAACAUACGACCCAAACAUACGGUUACAUCUCAUACAUCAUAUGCAUUCGGUUCACGACAACGUUCCAACAUAUACCUUCGAAGCGUGCAUAUCGGAGCGGAUCGGUUUGGUGAAGAAGAACAAAGAUCGUCGUGGAAGUCAUAGAAGUAGUUGUACACGGUCUGUCGACGGUAUUCGUACUCUUGGCAUCGGUACAUGGGUCUUCGCGCCGGUAGUCGAACAUGGGUCCGUAGAUGUUCGGGGUUGUCGAGGACGUCGUGGGAGUCGUGGUGCUCGGCGAUCUUCUCGGAUCCACGGUGGUGGGGAUGGUGCACGCGUUCUUCGGCGAUGGUCCCGAAAGGUGAUAGGGCGAGGCAGGACAACAGCAAGCAACAUCUACAGCAACUAGCAGUGGCAGCUAGCAAGCAGCAACCGGCUGCACAAGUAACAACAACAGCUAGCAUCACGCAGCAGAGGCUAGCAGCCUAGCAGGCAAACAACAAGCAGCAGCCAGGCAUCGGCGACAGCGGCAGCAUAGCAGCAACAGCGACAGUAGGCGGCAGCACAAGCAUAGCCCAGCAUCAGCAGCGGGCAACACCAGUCUGCAUUGGCAAGGCAUCGGCAGCAGCAAGAGCAUCUCCAUGGCGCGCAGGGCGGCGCGUGGGAGACGGUGGGGAUGGAGGCGGCAGACUCCGGCAGACGGAGCAGGCGGGCGCGGCGGCCAGCGGAGGCGAGCACGGCGGGGCCAGGAGCGACGGCUGGCGAGCUGCUGGCGGCGGGUACGCGGGACCGGCGGCCAGCUCGGGCUCCAUGGGGAACGGCAACCCGCAGGCGACAGGUGGGCUGCUUCUGGUCCAGGGCGGCGGACGGCGGAGGCUGAGGCCGGCGGGGGCGGGAGCUGCUGAGGCCGACGGGAGCGGGAGCUGCGCGAGCGAGGGCGAGGGGCAUGCGGUCUUCGGGAGGAGGAUGGGAUCGGGAGAUGACGACACGCAGGAGGGAGAAUGAGAGGGAUCGGGGAUGGAUCGGGACGAGGGGGAGGAUGACGGCGCACGCACGGGCCCAGAGGGAUCGGGAGGGGGAACCUCCCGUGGCUCGGUAGGUUAGCGAGGGGCCAGCUGGGCCUUGGGCCGGCUCCGCAGGCUGGCUGGGCUCCUCUCUCCCUUCCUUAUUUUUUUAAAAUGGAAACACACACAAAAUAAAAAGGAUUAAACAAAAUAAAAAAAUACUUUUGACUCCUUAAAAACGUACCCCAACUAUAAGAAAUAGAUUGGGCAUUUUUUUAAGAAUAAAAAAUGAAGCCGUUUUUUGAAUAAUAAAAUAAAACCCCUUUUAUAAAUAAAAUGAGACUCUAGUUUUGAAAUAAAACAAAAGAAUAAAUAAAGAAAAACCAGAGGGGUUGGCUCCACCUUUAAUAACAUGAUUUUAAAGGAAGACGAUUUUUUUAAAGGGGUUAAAACUGAAACUCUGACGCAACCACAAAACAGAAUAAGAGAGGAGAGAAGGGAGUUCCCUAUUGCACUACAGACUCUCAGAGCACUCACAACUCAGGUCACACCACGCAACAGAUGAUGCAAGAUGCCAUGCAUGAUGCCAUGAUGCGCAAGAUGAAUGCAACAAACAAAAAUAACCACACGAGGGAAACGGAAAUAAAGGGGAAUCUUCUAGGGCGUCGGUGGCAACAGAAAUAAAGGGGAAUCUUCUGGGGCGUCGGCAUCGGGCUAUCACAACUCUCCUACACUACAAGAGGAUCUUACCCCGAGAUCCAAGAAUGGAAGGGGAAGAGGAUGAGAAAGAACAAGAGGUAAAAACUUAGUCGCUUUUUUGACAAAUGAGUGAAACCAACAAUCCUUGAAGGUUGCAAAGAGAUGAGGACUGAUAUGAGAAACAAGCUAGAAUUCACGGAAAAUUUCGGCAGCACUUCGGUAGGAAAAUGGAACAAAAAAUUCGAUAAGAAGAGAGAAUUAGACAAUAUACAUAACAAACAACUAAAUGGAACAAGGGAACACCAUGAUCUUGAUAGAACAACAUAAUAGACCCAAAAAGAGCAACAUCAUAAUGCCUCCGGAACAAUAGAAUAGGGACUAGCUCAAGCGGAAGAAGAGAAUGAAGAAAAGAAUGACAACUAUCAUCACAAUAGAAUUGAAGAGCCUCCGGACAGAGAAUUGACGUAGUAGUUGGGAAACCAACAACGAAAAUAACAAGAUAGUAGUGGGCUUAUGAAAAUCAUCUCAACAUUUAUGAGGUGACAACCAACCACUAAAAGAAACAAGGAUAGUUGAAAGCAAAGAUAUCGAAACUUCCUUCACCAAGAGGGUGCAUUGAGAACUAGGAUUAAUGACAAGUACCAUGACGAGCCUCUGUAUCAAAAGGAUGAUGCAAGAUAUGAAGGAUGAAAAGAUAAGAUUGAAGCCUUGUAAAGUCUUCGAUGAAGCUUCACGAAGAGAUACUUGAUAAAACUUGAAACUCUAGAAAAGAAAAAGAUAAGAACACUUGAGAAAAAGGAAUUGAUACCGUGAGUCACUCCGGAAGAAGAAUUUAGAUUACUAUGAACAAGAAUAAGAAUUAUGUUAUGCUCAUCCUUCAUCAAGUUUAAUUGAUGACAAGCAACGGAUUUAGCGUAGCACUUAUUCUUCUAGAAAUGAUUGAGGAGAGAUAUGAGCACAAACUAGAAGAAAUGUUGCAAGAAACACCGGUGAGAAUUGAAAUAAAUGAGGCAACCAAGAAUGAAUGGAGACACAUGAGAAUGAAGAGAUCAUAAGCCACGUGAGAGAAACUAGAACAAGGCACCGGAUAUCCGAGAGACGAACGGAGAGGCAACAAUGGGGAAGAAUUGAGGAUGAAAUCUGAAAGCUGAGGACGAA
rnacentral:lncRNA from 1 species